UGGGGAAUCUUGGACAAUGGGCGAAAGCCUGAUCCAGCCAUGCCGCGUGAGUGAAGAAGGCCCUAGGGUUGUAAAGCUCUUUUGGCGGGGACGAUAAUGACGGUACCCGCAGAAUAAGCCCCGGCUAACUCCGUGCCAGCAGCCGCGGUAAGACGGAGGGGGCAAGGGUUGUCCGGACUCACUGGGCGUAAAGGGCGCGCAGGCGGGACGGCGCGUCGGCGCUGAAAGCGCCCGGCUUAACCGGGCGCGGCGCGGCGAUACGACCGACCUGGAGGCAGGCAGAGGGUGGCGGAAUUCCGGGUGUAGUGGUGAAAUGCGUAGAGAUCCGGAGGAACGCCUGUGGCGCAAGCGGCCGCCUGGGCCUGACCUGACGCUGAGGCGCGAAAGCGUGGGGAGCGAACCGGAUUAGAUACCCGUGUAGUCC
rnacentral:rRNA from 1 species